AUGACGUCAUGUCAUGAUGAUCCAGUAGCUGGAGAGAAGGAGCAGGUCCAAACAGCGUCAAGGAUCAAAGUCCUUCUCAGGGCAACGGAGAUGUUUGUCAUGGUGACGUUUGCUAACAGGCCUCCAAACCGCCACGGUCCAGUUCCACGCUUCAGGCUGCAGAUCACAGAAGACUCCGCUUUCACCAGUGCUGCUUGUGCCAUAGAAGUGCGAUGAGCCACAGACGUCAGUAGGAGCCAUCAAGUCGACAUCAUUAGCAUUAGAUCAGGUCACAUGAUGUGAGAUGAGCCAUCGCAUACAUUUAAAGGUGUUACAGGUGUCUGCUGUUCACCAUCGGGGGGUGGCAGAGAAAACCACGGUGGAACCAUGGUUCAGUGUUUGAACUAGUUAACAGCUGUUAAUGGUGCUGAACACGGCGAUUCUCAUGUACAGGUACCGUUACCACGACGACGAUGAGCCAGUCUUUGUUGUGAUGCUCUGAUUAUAUAUCAACUUGAACAAAAUAUGUUACGAAGUAAAGUUAGUGAAAAAACUGAAAUCAUCUUUUAAUGCAAGUAUUUAUGUUUAUUUAUUUUUGUAUUUGUUUUAUAUGAAUUGAUCUAUUGUUUACUCACUCAGUGGCCAUGUCUUUGGUAUGACUCUUAUAUUAAGAUGUAAACUGACUUUUUUUUUUACUCAUUCUCUAUGUGUAUAAACCAGAGUGACUAUCUUACUGUAUGAUGUGGGUGUGUGAGUGUCUGCUGUGGUUUGUAUGUAUACUAUGUACAGUACCACUGGAUGGAAGGGUGCUCCAGGUUUUUUUGAUAAUGCUGCUUAAACAUCCUCUGAGUGAACAAGCAGAAAACCAGUGGUGAAAAUAUCUAUGACGAUGUUUAAAAAAGAACUGUGUAGAUGGGAAUAAUAAUGUAGUAAACAUGGCUUAAAGUAUAAGUGUCUGUGUUUUUCUCAAUGAUGUGAGAGCUGAAGUAACCGGUGGAGCCUGGUUCCAGACUGACCUGGACCCUCACAGGCCUCGUUUUAUUACUCUGCAUCUUUGUACAGUUGUGAUAGUGAGUUCUUUACGUCUUGGGUCAUCCAAGUCCCUCUCUGUUUGCUGUUUGCAUGUUCUGUGUCUGUAUCCAGGGCGAUCUCGUCUACUGACACAGGCUCCAGCAUCAUUACAGUAGGUACAUCUGUAAUCUAACACAGUCUAACACAGCAGCUGCAGUUUGAGUUGGAGCAAAAAUAAAGGUGCUACUUCUACUAUAAGUUCA
rnacentral:lncRNA from 1 species